GGAGAAAAAUCCAUUUUAAGGGGAAGGCCAGCAAUUCUGCACAGCGGGGAGUGCACUGUGCAAUACCAUCGAUCGGCCACUGGGGGCACCUGACUACACAGGAUAGGAAGUCCGAAACCCUAUCCUGAGUGUUCACAAUCAUAGCAAAAAAACGAUGGGGGUCGGGGUCGGGGUCUGGAGAACCAACAGCAAGGAAGAUACAAGACUUUUCAUCUAGCUUGGGUGGCCUCUCCAGUCUCCAACAGGAAAGGAUAUGGUCACUGUCCUCCACAAAGUUUACAGUCAUUACCACCUCUAUACUGCUCCUCCAACUGCACCCACCCUUGCUGCCGCCACCCCUGGUGCCACCCCCACCCCCGCUACCCACCCUCGUUGCCCCAUCCUUCCACCGCCGCUGCUCACCCCAUACCUGAUUCCCAUAGCCUAGGUAGGCCCUAUGCUGCCUCCUGCCCAAAUGCAAGCCUUGAGCUAACUCCCAAGUUUUUGUCUGAUGAGCAGUGCUGUCUGGACUUCCCAGGUCCUGCAGAGAGCUGGGGACAGAUGCAGCUGUAAGAGAGAUCUUGAGGACAAACCCAUGCCUAUAUCCCGCCAAUUCACAGACUGGCUCUUCCGGCAUCCGUCCGAGGCCCAAGAGUUCACUCACUGCUGCGGGAACUGACCCAGUCACAAGAGAAAGGUUUCCGUUCUUCUUAGCUAUGGAACCAGCCUGAGUUCCAGAGGGGACAAACCAUCUUCAGACCACUCUUCCUGAAGAUACACUGUGAUGGAUGCUAUAUGAGCAACCCACUUCCUCUUCUGUCCUGACGGCCUUCCUUCCUCCUUGGCUGUUGGGAGACAGCCUCACCAUCAACUGUCUUUGGUGAUUCCCCAACCAAGAUCAGGCUUCAUUAAAUGGACACCUACAUGAGACUGUGGUUCAAUGCAGUUCACAAAACCCUGGCUUUGCAACAAUCCAAGCACCCCUAAGGAGCCCUCCAUUGCUAGUGUUCCCUAGGGCCUGGCUAAGGCUUUGUAAACCCAGACCUCCAUUGCAUCUGACCCAGGAGUGGUCUCUAAUAAAGCUUUUGUAGCCAGGAACUGGGAAGAGGACUCAGCUGAUGAAGUGUCUAUGUAUAAAGCUGGCCGUGGUGACACACGCUUAUAAUUCCAGUUCUGGAGAUAUAGAGACAGGAGGAUCCCCGAGACUCACCAGCCAGCCUGGCCUACGCAGUGAGCCCCGGGACAAAGAGAAAGCAGGUCUUGAGGGGGAUAAAAGGUAGAUGGCUCCUAAAGAACAUUCACCACUGGCAUGUGCACGUGUGUGCGCGCACACACACACACACACACACAGGAAAAAGAUUCUUGCACUCAGCGCGGAUCUCAAAGUCAGACUCCCAUGAUCCAGGAAAGCCAGUCUGCAGCCCUGAUCUUUGGAAGGCGCCAAGGUUGACUUCAUGAUCUGGCAUAUUUCUGCAUGUCCCACAAAUACUUUGGAAAGACAAUGGCCUCGGCCCAAGAGAGACCUCCAGCCAUGACAUGCUCGUCAUGUUAAACCUGUAUCUGUGUGACGUAAGCCUUCGCCACCAUCACUGAAAUGACCCAAAGCUAUGCCGCUGUGGAUACGGAUGUGUGUUCUUUUUCCAUUUUCCUUCACAUGUGUGCAUCUACAACAGCUUACACUGUUGGCUCUCCGUAUCUGCAGGUACCGCAUCCACAGAUCCAACCAACCACAAAUGGAGAACAAUUCUUCUGUACCAAAUAUGUGCAGACAUCCCCAUCGCUCCCUGAACUCUGCUUAUCAGUAGCUCCUGAUUCUGCCCCGAUGUUGUGUUAGGGAUAGGAAGCCAUCAUGGGAGCAUUUGAAGCCUCCAGAAAGAUGUGCACAGCUUACACACAAACCGUGCCUCCUCAAACAAGACAUGUAAGCAUCCAAGGCUUGUGAUAUAGGCCAGGAGUUCUGGAACCUUCCUUACACGUACCGAAGGACAUGCACAUAAAUUGAGAGCAGUUAUGACUCCCUGGAGAAUUGAUCCUUCUAUUGUUACCCAGCCACCAUCUCAUCCAGGAUAAUACUUUCUUCUUUGAAGUCAAUUUUUAAUGUACAUGUACACACAAGCACACGCACACAUGCAUGCACACACAAAGACACGUGUGUACUUAUACACGUAAAUACAUGUACACAUACACAUUCUCUCAUAGGCACAUACAUAUACAAGCACACAUACAUUGUUUUUCAGUGCUAAGGAUAGGACCCAGCGCCUGUGUGUGCUAGGCAGAUACUCUGUCACUGUGCCAAAUUCCUGGACCUUACCUCA